rnacentral:tRNA from 2 species
UCUGUAGCUCAGUCGGUAGAGCAAGGGACUGAAAAUCCCUGUGUCGAUGGUUCGAUUCCGUCCGGA